AAAGAUUUAAGAGAGAUUUCAUGACUUUUAUGUCAAAAACACAGUAAUUAAAAAAAAUAUAAGAUGCAAAUUGUUACAUAGUAAACUAGAUUUGUAAACAAAACAAAAUACUAAAAACUAAAAGAAUGUUUCUAAAGUAUUACCUUUCCACAAAAACUAAAAUUAAGAUAUAAAUAUUUGAUCCAAAAUUGGACAGCAAAAAGGAAAGAUGUUGUAUCACAUGCAAGAUCAUAAAUACAACUGAAUAGCAGCGACUUAAAUUCCUGGUGUAAAAUUAAAUUGUCAUGGAUACCCACAACAGAGGAUAAUAAUGAUUAUAAAAUGGGCAUUCACUCAGAAAUAGGAGUAACAGUGACCAAAAGGGAGUAGUUUUAUAAAUCAUAUACAAUUACAAGUUCCCAGGCCUGCUAUGAUUACCAACAUUGUGUGUAAUUUCCAAAGGACCACUAUUAACAUUAUAGUGAACACAAUGGUUUAUUUUUAGAGUUCAAAAAAACACUUUUUAUUUUCAGAGUUGCUUUUGAAUUGAAGAUCAGAAUAUAUGUUACACUUGAGUUGAAUUUGGAGGACACCGUUGAUAUUAUAAAAUUACAUUUUGAAUAAUAUUUU
rnacentral:lncRNA from 1 species